GUGUCCUGGAGGGGCUGCUGGACUCAGAGGAGGUGCCUUCUUUCUCCAGUUCUCAGUGAAGUCAGUCUUCAUCAAGAGUAAGCACAACAGAAAGCACAGAGCCUCUUCCAUUUGGACAGCAAGACUGUGGGGCAUUGCAAUGCAGAGAAAUGUCAAAGAGAAUAUCCACCUUUAAAUCACAAACCAUCUAUAGAAGCGGAGGAAAGAGCAAAACAUCCAGCAGCAGGUACAAAUCACUUAGUAACUAUGUAAGGUGAGACUCGAUGAUAGAAGUAGAAGUAAUCCUGACAUUCUAAAUCAAUAAAGAGAAGAGGCUGAUUCCAGGAGAACUGAUGAGCAGAGGCUGGAAGUUACCAG
rnacentral:lncRNA from 1 species